rnacentral:rRNA from 1 species
UACGUAGGGGGCAAGCGUUGUCCGGAAUCAUUGGGCGUAAAGCGCGCGUAGGCGGCCCGAUAAGUCCGCUGUGAAAGUCAACGGCUCAACUGUUGAAAGCCGGUGGAUACUGUCGGGCUAGAGUACGGAAGAGGCAAGUGGAAUUCCUGGUGUAGCGGUGGAAUGCGCAGAUAUCAGGAGGAACACCCAUAGCGAAGGCAGCUUGCUGGGACGUUACUGACGCUAAGGCGCGAAAGCGUGGGGAGCGAACAGG